rnacentral:lncRNA from 1 species
AUUUUAUAGAAAGUCAGUUUGUCAUUAAAAGCUACAUUAGAUGAUUAGUAUUCUCAAAUCAACAGUUAUAAUAUGUCUGUUAAGCAGCCCAUUUGCCUUAUGUUGUGUUGCAGAUUCCUACCUUAAUGUAUAUAUGUCACCUCCUUUGGGUCUUCACUACAGCCGUUAAGCUCACUACAGUGCUUUACUAAGGAUAGUUUGCUGCAUCACCCACUUCAGCCUCUUUUGUUCACCCAGGAAGCCAGACAUAUUAAAUAGCCUUUACAAUGUACAUAUAUAUCCAAUUACUUUGUUUUUGAAAUUUUAGAAUUUUAUAAUUUGAAAUGGUAAACUUACUUUUUUUUUAUUCUUGGCUGUUGAAAUUACUUGACAGAACUUUGCUUUGGAAUAGAGCUUCUGUAUCUUUAAAAAAUACACGAGUCACCCCCUGCUCUUUUGGUAGAUGCCUGGCUAGUCAACAGCUAAGCUGCUUUAGGCAUAUAAUAGAACAUUCCAUUUCCUGUUCCCUUGCUGACACAGAGGAGUGUUCCUGCUGGCAAUGAUCUAAUCACAGUGCAGUAAGAAACAUGGCAGUUUGAUAAAACAUGGUGGAGACAGCGGCUGAAAUGGAAGCAUAUGUUCUAGAAGACAUUCUAGAGGUGGAGUCUUUCAUUUUAGAUCAGGAUGAUUUGGAAAAUCCAAUGCUGGAGACAGCUUCCAAGUUGCUCUUGUCAGGUACUGCUGAUGGUGCAGACCUCAGGACGGUAGAUCCGGAGACACAGGCCAGACUGGAGGCUCUGCUAGAAGCGGCAGGAAUAGGCAAGUUAUCCACAGCUGAUGGUAAAGCCUUUGCAGACCCCGAGGUGCUCCGGAGGUUAACGUCCUCGGUUAGCUGUGCGUUGGAUGAAGCUGCUGCUGCACUUACUCGGAUGAGAGCUGAGAGCACAGCAAAUGCAGGGCAGUCGGACAAGUAAGUACUGUUUUGCUGUGAUCAGUGUGAAAACUGUUUUCUUAAAAAUAAAAAUAGCUGAUAUUACUGGGCAUUUAUUUUGUUUUCAACACUGUUAACCACUUAACAUGUAAUAUCUUAUUUGUAUUCAUAAAAACAUGUCAUAGAUUUUAUUUCUAUUCCCAUUUUAUAGUUGAAAGCUAAGAGCUGGAUAACUUAAUGAAGAUCAACUAGAUGUCAAGUGGCAAAGCGUCAGUGUAUGUCUUCCUACAUGGCUGACUUCUUAACCAAUAUGUGUUGUAAAGGAGAUCUUUUGCUUGCUUAAAUUUUCAUUUUAUGUAUUGGUGACAAAGAAGUAA